GGACGAACGCUGGCGGCGUGCCUAAUACAUGCAAGUCGAACGAGCUCUCCUAAAUUGAUUUUAUGCUUGCAUAAAUGAUUUUUGGAUUCGGAGCGAGUGGCGAACUGGUGAGUAACACGUGGGUAACCUGCCCCGAAGCGGGGGAUAACAUUUGGAAACAAGUGCUAAUACCGCAUAAUUAGUUGGAACCGCAUGGUUCCAACUUGAAAGAUGGCUCUGCUAUCACUUUGGGAUGGACCCGCGCCGUAUUAGUUAGUUGGUGAGAUAAAAGCCCACCAAGACGAUGAUACGUAGCCGACCUGAGAGGGUAAUCGGCCACAUUGGGACUGAGACACGGCCCAGACUCCUACGGGAGGCAGCAGUAGGGAAUCUUCCACAAUGGACGAAAGUCUGAUGGAGCAACGCCGCGUGAGUGAUGAAGGUUUUCGGAUCGUAAAACUCUGUUGUUAAAGAAGAACAAGUGUUAGAGUAACUGUUAACACUUUGACGGUAUUUAACCAGAAAGCCACGGCUAACUACGUGCCAGCAGCCGCGGUAAUACGUAGGUGGCAAGCGUUGUCCGGAUUUAUUGGGCGUAAAGCGAGCGCAGGCGGUUUUGUAAGUCUGCUGCGAAAGCCCUCAGCUCAACUGAGGAAGUGCAGUGGAAACUACAAAACUUGAGUACAGAAGAGGAAAGUGGAACUCCAUGUGUAGCGGUGAAAUGCGUAGAUAUAUGGAAGAACACCAGUGGCGAAGGGCGGCUUUCUGGUCUGUUACUGACGCUGAGGCUCGAAAGCAUGGGUAGCGAACAGGAUUAGAUACCCUGGUAGUCCAUGCCGUAAACGAUGAAUACUAGGUGUUGGAGGGUUUCCGCCCUUCAGUGCCGCAGCUAACGCAUUAAGUAUUCCGCCUGGGGAGUACGACCGCAAGGUUGAAACUCAAAGGAAUUGACGGGGGCCCGCACAAGUGGUGGAGCAUGUGGUUUAAUUCGAUGCUACGCGAAGAACCUUACCAGCUCUUGACAUCUUCUGCCAACCCAAGAGAUUGGGCGUUCCCUUCGGGGACAGAAUGACAGGUGGUGCAUGGUUGUCGUCAGCUCGUGUCGUGAGAUGUUGGGUUAAGUCCCGCAACGAGCGCAACCCUUAUUAUUAGUUGCCAGCAUUUAGUUGGGCACUCUAGUGAGACUGCCGGUGAUAAACCGGAGGAAGGUGGGGACGACGUCAAAUCAUCAUGCCCCUUAUGAGCUGGGCUACACACGUGCUACAAUGGAUGGUACAACGAGUCGCGAAACCGCGAGGUCAAGCUAAUCUCUUAAAGCCAUUCUCAGUUCGGAUUGCAGGCUGCAACUCGCCUGCAUGAAGUUGGAAUCACUAGUAAUCGUGGAUCAGCAUGCCACGGUGAAUACGUUCCCGGGCCUUGUACUCA
rnacentral:rRNA from 1 species